rnacentral:rRNA from 1 species
ACCGACAGCAAUAUGAAGGCCAGGCUGAAGACUUUUGCCGGAGUUAGCUGAGAGGUGGUGCAUGGCCGUCGUCAGUCGUACUGUGAACGCAUCCUGUUAAGUACCAGGCAACGAGCGAGACCCACGCCCACAGGUUGCCAGCGUACUCCUCCGGAGUGGACGGGUAACACUGUGGGGACCCGCCGCUGCUAAAGCGGAGGAAGGAAUGGGCAACGGUAGGUCAGUAUGCCCCGAAUAUCCCGGGCUACACGCGAGCUACAAUGGUUGGUACAAUGGGUAUCUACCCCGAAAGGGGACGGGAAUCUCCUAAAACCAAUCUUAGUUCGGAUUGAGGGCUGCAACUCGCCCUCAUGAAGCUGGAAUCCGUAGUAAUCGCGUUUCAACAGAACGCGGUGAAUACGUCCCUGCUCCUU